rnacentral:rRNA from 1 species
UACGGGGGGAGCAAGCGUUGUUCGGAUUUACUGGGCGUAAAGGGCGCGUAGGCGGCGCAACAAGUCACUUGUGAAAUCUCCGGGCUUAACUCGGAAAGGUCAGCCGAUACUGCGGGGCUAGAGUGCAGAAGGGGCAACUGGAAUUCUCGGUGUAGCGGUGAAAUGCGCAGAUAUCAGGAGGAACACCGGUGGCGAAGGCGGGUCUCUGGGCCGAUACUGACGCUGAGGAGCGAAAGUGUGGGGAGCGAACAGG